rnacentral:rRNA from 1 species
CCUACGGGAGGCAGCAGUGAGGAAUAUUGGUCAAUGGGCGCGAGCCUGAACCAGCCAAGCCGCGUGAAGGAUGACUGCCCUACGGGUUGUAAACUUCUUUUAUAAAGGAAUAAAGUGAGGCACGUGUGCCUUUUUGUAUGUACUUUUAGAAUAAGGAUCGGCUAACUCCGUGCCAGCAGCCGCGGUAAUACGGAGGAUCCGAGCGUUAUCCGGAUUUAUUGGGUUUAAAGGGAGCGUAGGUGGGUUGUUAAGUCAGUUGUGAAAGUCUGCGGCUCAACCGUAAGAUUGCAAUUGAUACUGGCAGGCUUGAGUGCAGGUGAGGUAGGCGGAAUGCGUGGUGUAGCGGUGAAAUGCUUAGAUAUCACGAAGAACUCCGAUUGCGAAGGCAGCUUACUGGACUGCAACUGACGUUGAGGCUCGAAAGUGUGGGUAUCAAACAGGAUUAGAUACCCUAGUAGUC